GUGGGGCCGGGGCACGGAGCGGGGGGCCGGGGGCUAUGGGGCCGUGGGGCCGGGGCCGUGGGGCUGGGCCCCCCGGCGGCAGGCAGGCCCGAGGCGGCGGCAGCUGCCCGGCGAAAAGCGUCACGUCCCUGUGGUUGCGGAACUGGGCGCCGGUCCGUUCUCUGUCCGCAGCCGUCGUGAUUGGCGGGUGGCUGGUCGGACAGGCGUCUGAGGGCCCCUGUGUGCCGCGGAGGGCCGGAAGGCUGACGGCACUCCGCCAAAAACCCUGCUGGCUGUGCCCCGAAGACAGGAACCACAGUGCAGAUGUGGUCCUUCUUGCCUUCAGUUUUAAUCUGGCCUUUUUCAGGUCAGAUAGUUUUUCAGCCAGUGUCACAGAGGAAAAGAAACAGAACUCCAAAGGGAAGCUGCCAUUACCUUAUCUAUGAAGAGGCUACCACAUAUCCACAAUACAUUACACCAGCUGAGGCAAGUUCAGUCUUUGUUGUGAGCUAUGUAUUAGUACAGUUUCUUCUGAAUAAUUUACAACAUCGCUGUGCAAACUGGGAUAGUUUUAGGACCCCUAGAAAUGUCUGGUUUCAAAAUAGUACUUCUAUUGGUAAAACUGUUCGGUGUGAAACACUGUAUUAAAGCAAAGCUGAAGCUGAGCUUUUGAAAUCACAAAAGGCAGGAAAUGCAGUUGAAGUUGCCAUGGAAACCUUAACUCUACACCUUUAGGUAGGUAGUAUGCUAUGGUUUUAAUUAGUUCCUCUUUGUACAACUCCAUAUAGGUGUUCUCCUUUUAUUAUCUGAAUUCUAAUUACAUCAAAUGCUAUUUAUAAUACAUAUUAAUUGCAGUGGCUACUCAGCAAACACUAGGAAUCAGAUUAUUAGGUGUUAGCUGUGGCUUACUGUAUCAUAGAAUCAUAGAGUGGCAGGUUGGAAAGGACCUCAAAGAUCAUCUGGUCCAACGUUUCUAGGUACUACUAUAGUUUAUAUGAGAUGGCUCAGCACCCUGUCAAGCUGAGACUUAAAACUGUGCAACGUGGGGGAAUCUGCGCCUUCCCUUGGGAGACUAUUCCAAUGUUUGACUGUCCUCAUGGUGAAACAUUUACCUCUUGUGACCUGAGAGAGCUGAAGUUUGUGCUUCUAAAAUCUAAACCCUUUGUCUUGGAACUAACUAUCAUAUUCUUGCACUUGUAACAUACUAAGGUGGCUGUAUGAUGUGCAGCUAGAAAAGAACAUGGCUAACUUAUUGGCCAUGGUAUUAAAAAGUGCUUUCUCUGAGGUAGAAUUGUACAGUAUGGCCAUUGCAUCACACAUGAGCAAAAUCUUAGAAAACACAGGCAAUUUACAGGAGGUAAAUUUAAAAUGGUACUUCAUGGAAUUUUUACCAGGAUGAUAAUAUGCUUCCAGCAAACCAUGAAAGUACUUCAUUAGUGUUUUAGAAAUAUGCAUUGCUCCCACCAGUACUUAAUCUUGUAGUUCACAGGACAUAGCUCUUUCUCUUCCAGUUUCCUUUCCAGCAGCUUUUGAGCAGUAUGAAUUUGCAUUAGCAUACAAACCUGAAAUUCUCUGGCCCAAUUCAGACUUCCUGUAUAUGCCUGCUAAAGGGGCAGAUUUAUAUGGAGGGUUUUUUUUCUUUUAAUUAGCCAUUGGUUAAAUUUUGCAAGGAAUGCCUGGUUUUUGAACAUCAGGAACCUCAAGUUGAGAGACCUGGCAGCAAGCUAGCAUCUUCAGUAUGGUAUCUUGAAAGGGGUAUCAAAUUGUAUGGUAAAAAAAAAAAAGUCCUCUGUCCAUGACAGCAGUUCAUAUAACUUCUAGAAGAAUCUGUUUCAGGAAAGACCACGCUUGCAACUAAAAUUUUCAGUACGUUCAUUGAAGUUUGGAAGAUUGCAGUCAAAAUAGUAUAAAUAAAGGAAAGCACUGUGAGAAAGAUGUUAAAGUCAGCAUCAUUAAUUUUUGUUUCUCAAACUGCUGGUAGCACUUUCAGCAGCACUGUUUCAGUAAUAGUAAAUACAUUUCUAGAAUGUAUAAAUAUUAAAGCAGGUGAACAGAAUGUUAGGGUAAAGUGAAAUCUUUAUAUCUACAGUUUUCAUUGGCAGCUACUCCUAGAAAGCCAAAACACAGGCUUUAAAUGUGAAUGAGACCAUCUCUUACAGCUGGGGUGAGUGGCUGCCUCUCCAAGCCCUUUGCCAGCUUGCUCACCCUGAGGACCUGACAGCCACGUUGAGGCAGGCCACAAGUUUGCCCACGGCAUUCCUGCAUCUGCUAACAGCAGCAAAUUAGUGCUUAGCAUUUCUCCCACCUCUCUUAAAUACUAAAUUCUCUGGCAGGGUCCAUCAUGAUCAUGAUUAAUAUUGAGUGGGGCUGCUGAAGACUGGACACAGCUGGUUCCAGCUGCCUCUGGUGGGUUCUAAGGCACCUACUCAGAGAGCAGCUGAGCCCAGCAGAGAAGCUGGUGGUACCUGUGUGGGGAGGCAGUGAAGGAAAGGCACAAGGGUGCCUUGACUCACAAAGGUGCUUUGGGGGAGGGCAGCUGGUGCAUUUAGGAGAAUGGUUUAUUCAGCCGUAGAACCACAACUGGUGAUAGUUGUAGAAAUUUACUAAAAUCAUUACUUUUCUGUACUAAGUUAGCUGAAUGGGUUACUUUUAAACGAUGUACUUUGUGUCAGUUAUGCCAAACAUCCUGCAGGCUUUUAUAAUACCAAGUCUUCUAAGACCUGUGGCACCAACAGACAACGUUCAUGUUGAUUCUGGACCCACUUGGACAAUCUACCUGCAGGAGACUGGAGACAGGACCAUGAUGGGAAACUCCCCCGUUGGCUGGCCCAACACUGGAUCCAGGACUGGUGACUUUCUAUUAUCUAUCUCUGUGACAUUUUAAUGACUCUCCCUGGAAAGGCCAGGUCUGAGACACAGUUUGGAUCCAGCUGCAACAGGGCUCCACUCUGAGAAGGAGUUUAGAAAGCAAGAGGGUCCGAUCUGAAUCUCCCUGGGUUGCCCUACUUGGGUCAUGACACUUUAUUGGCAUCAUGGACCAGGAUGGGAGACACAACCAUGAUGGGAGACAGGACAAAGAAGACAAAAGACUAGAAUCAAUAAAGACCUCCACAGGCAACCCUUGAGCAUGCAUAAUUACGAAGAUAACUAGUUCCCGGAAAUAAAAUGACUAUGUAAUAGAAUUCUGGGAACUCAUUGGCAUAAAACUGAAUAUGCAUGUUUUUGGUGUAUAUAAGUUGAGGUGUUUUGCUAACUCGUUGGAACACUUACGGUGGAGAGAACCCAAGUACUGCCCCAGUGCUGCAAUAAAGAAUGCCUGCUCAAUAA